rnacentral:tRNA from 1 species
GCAUCCAUUGUCUAACAGACGGACAAAGCUCUUCUAAACCUUUGGUAUAGGUUCAAAUCCUAUUGGAGGCA